AACGAACGCUGGCGGCGUGCUUAAGACAUGCAAGUCGUGCGAGAAAGUUCCUUCGGGAGCGAGUAAAGCGGCGCACGGGUGAGUAACGCGUGGGUAAUCUGCCCGAAGGUCUGGGAUAACUCCGGGAAACUGGGGCUAAUACCAGAUGAGACCACGUUGUCUGCGGACAGCGCGGGAAAAGGUGGCCUCUGCUUGCAAGCUACCGCCUACGGAUGAGCCCGCGUCCCAUUAGCUAGUUGGCGGGGUAACGGCCCACCAAGGCUGAGAUGGGUCGCUGGUCUGAGAGGACGACAGGCCACACUGCAACUGAGACACGGUCCAGACUCCUACGGGAGGCAGCAGUCGGGAAUUUGGGGCAAUGGGCGAAAGCCUGACCCAGCGACGCCGCGUGAGGGACGAAGGCCGUCGGGUCGUAAACCUCUGUCGGAAGGGGCGAAAGGUUCUUGGGCAAAUAGGCCAAGGGCUUGACGGUACCUUCAAAGGAAGCGCCGGCUAACUCCGUGCCAGCAGCCGCAGUAACAC
rnacentral:rRNA from 1 species